rnacentral:rRNA from 1 species
AUUGAACGCUGGCGGCAUGCUUUACACAUGCAAGUCGAACGGUAACAGGCCGCAAGGUGCUGACGAGUGGCGAACGGGUGAGUAAUGCAUCGGAACGUGCCCAGUCGUGGGGGAUAACGCAGCGAAAGCUGCGCUAAUACCGCAUACGAUCUAUGGAUGAAAGCGGGGGACCGUAAGGCCUCGCGCGAUUGGAGCGGCCGAUGUCAGAUUAGGUAGUUGGUGGGGUAGAGGCUCACCAAGCCGACGAUCGGUAGCUGGUCUGAGAGGACGACCAGCCACACUGGGACUGAGACACGGCCCAGACUCCUACGGGAGGCAGCAGUGGGGAAUUUUGGACAAUGGGCGCAAGCCUGAUCCAGCAAUGCCGCGUGCAGGAAGAAGGCCUUCGGGUUGUAAACUGCUUUUGUACGGAACGAAACGGCUCUGGUUAAUACCUGGGGCUAAUGACGGUACCGUAAGAAUAAGCACCGGCUAACUACGUGCCAGCAGCCGCCGUAAGAC